AUUGUUCCUUAGAUUAUCCUGCACAAAGUGUGUGCUUUGAUUUUUGAUCCGUCAAAAAACAUGGCCGCCGUUACUUAAAAUAGAACAUAGGGGUCAAAUGCAGUUUUUGGCUUAUAUCUCAAAAACGAAAGCAUUAAGAGCAAAUCUGACAGGAGUAAAAAUGUUCAUUAGGUCAAGAUCUAUCAGCCCUGAAAUUUUCAGAUGAAUCAAACAAACCAUUGUUGGGUUUCUGCCACUUAAUUGGUAAUUUUAAGGAAAUUUUGCAGUUUUUGGUCAUUAUCUUGAAUAUUAUUAUAGAUAAAGAUAAACUGUAAACAGCAAAAAAAGAUCAGCAAAGUAAGAUCUACAAAUAAGUUAAUAUGACCAAAAUUGUCAAUUGACCCCUUAAGGAGUUAUUGUCCUUUAAUGACAAUUUUUCACAAUUUGUUCAUCAUAUUUGCUAACUUUAAAAAAAUCUUCUCCUCUGAAACUACUGAAUGGAUUUGGUUAAAACUUAGCAUGGUUGUUCCUUAGAUUAUCCUGCACAAAGUGUGUGCUUUGAUUUUUGAUCCGUCAAAAAACAUGGCCG
rnacentral:lncRNA from 1 species